AGCUCGAUGGUGAAACGGACAUCAUCUCUGGCUUCUAACCAGAACUUCCGGGUUUGAUUCCUGGUCGGGUUG
rnacentral:tRNA from 1 species